rfam:Ovis aries breed Texel chromosome 11, whole genome shotgun sequence.
CCCUGGUGCCUCUGAGGGUAAAGAAUCUGCCUGCAAUGCAGGAGACCCGGGUUUGAUCCCUGGGUCAGGAA